CCCAUCCGCCAGGCAUGUCCUGAAAAACAGAAACUGUUGCUGCCAUGUGGAGACACAGUUGAACUCUUGGCCUCUGGGGCGCACAGUCCAGCUCACACUGACGAAUACACACAAACAGAACUCUCGGAGAGAAGAGGAAGAAAGGUCGAGCUGGCCAGGGGGCUGCAGAUCCCUGCCGCCCCCAGGGCCUAAACCCUGGGAGUAACGUGGGUGAGACUCCGGCCUCAGGCUGCCUCGCCUACCUUCCCAGGCCUUGAGAUGGUCUUCCGCCCUCCCAUGUUAAAGGUUGGGUCAAGGCCUGGAAGGCCCAGGAUAGCCACAAGGGGGCGCAUGAGCACUGGCUAAUCCCUUCAGCCCAGGCUCCUCCCCAACCCUCCUCCACGGAUUCCUAACUAUGUGAUAAGCUCCGGUUCUCUGCCAGGGCAGGACCGGGGAGUCUCACUCACCCUCUCUGGCUGCCUGUCGCCCAGCAUGGGACAGGCGGGAAACAUCCCUUGCUCUCCCACACACACUUCGAGGCUUCAGUCUCCUACAGGAUCUCAUCUAAUCCUCACAACAACCUGGGAGUAGAUCCUUAUUACCUUAGCUUCACAACUGCAGGAGCCACCUCGGAGGUAAGGGGCUUGCCCUGGGUCACAGAGCUGGUGCCUGGACCAGCCCUCUGCCAGGACCUUCGCUGCAUAUUUUCGGCUCCUGCCCGCUCGGCUCCCAGCACCACUGGCUCUUGGUGGCUAUCAUGGGGAGAUGGGGGGCCCCACACCCCGCAGUUUAGGUCUCAAUGCAGGGCCCAGGAUGGGGCAGAGAGAGAGCGAGCCAUGUUUUGGAGUCACCAGAGCUCCCGGGGAAGACCAAGGUCCAGCGUCAGUCCCAGCCAGGAAAACCAGGAGAGAAGAACUAGAAUGGAAAGCACCUACAUUUCAUGGCCAGAAGACACUAAUUCCAGUCCCGGCCUAUUGUCUCUGAGCUGUGUGAUCAAGUCUCUGAACCAACAGGUCCUCAUUCAUGGUCUCACGUUGGGCUGACCCCCCUCCCCAGGCUGGCUUUGAGCAUUAGAGGCGUUUUAUCUUGUGCAAGGAAAACAGGGCAUAGAGAUACCACCCAAAUGGCAGCCACGAGAGGACUCCGCUCAAAGUGCUCUUCCUGGGGGGCCUCCCUGGCACAUAUGUGUGCCAUUUGCCCCUUAUUGUUCUAUAAUCCUUGAUGGUUGCUCUGUAAUUACUCUCACAUGGCUUCAUCAUAAUAAACAGCAUCUGCAGAGCAGUUCACAGUUUACAAACUGUAUCUUUUUCCUCA